rnacentral:rRNA from 1 species
UACGUAGGGUGCAAGCGUUAAUCGGAAUUACUGGGCGUAAAGCGUGCGCAGGCGGUUGUGCAAGACCGAUGUGAAAUCCCCGGGCUUAACCUGGGAAUGGCAUUGGUGACUGCACGGCUAGAGUGUGUCAGAGGGGGGUAGAAUUCCACGUGUAGCAGUGAAAUGCGUAGAGAUGUGGAGGAAUACCGAUGGCGAAGGCAGCCCCCUGGGAUAACACUGACGCUCAUGCACGAAAGCGUGGGGGAGCAAACAGG